GGGAAUUUGGUCUAGUGGUAAGAUUCUUGCUUUGGUUCCAAAAGGUCUUGAGUUUGAUUCUCAGAAUGCCUUUCU